rfam:Oryza brachyantha chromosome 2, whole genome shotgun sequence.
UUGCCUUAAACUAAUGAGUAAGGAAAACAAAGCGGUGCGGUGAGAGCCGCUCGCGGUGCGGGACUCAACCCUGCACGGCAAUUUUUGGGAGGGGAAGAGGCCUGCGCGGGUAUUGACACUGCUUACUUUUGCAGGACUUGCCCUUGUGGGCCUCCCU